UGGAAGUGUCAGUACCACAAUGAAGGGAGAA
rnacentral:piRNA from 1 species